UACGGAGGAUUCAGGCGUUAUCCGGAUUUAUUGGGUUUAAAGGGUGCGUAGGCGGUCGGAUAAGUUAGAGGUGAAAUCCCGGGGCUCAACUUCGGAAUUGCCUCUGAUACUGUUCGGCUAGAGAGUAGUUGCGGUAGGCGGAAUGUAUGGUGUAGCGGUGAAAUGCUUAGAGAUCAUACAGAACACCGAUUGCGAAGGCAGCUUACCAAGCUACUUCUGACGUUGAGGCACGAAAGCGUGGGGAGCAAACAGG
rnacentral:rRNA from 1 species